GCCCAGGAACCGAUUCAGAUCAUCGUCACUGGCGUUGGCUGUGAGCGGCAAUCGACAUCGGGUCACCGGGGUUUUGUAACGCAGCUCGCUGGCCGCUACACCGCCUAAUCACGCACGCGCGCGCACACACGAUGCUGUUUAUUUAUUUGCUUAGUCCCAUCUCUGCGGACUGCUGCCACACACGCACACACACUGGUUCAUGCUGUUGCCCAACCGAGCGUAAUCUCACCCUCUCCCGCCCCCCACCCGAGGAUUCGAUGUUUGUAACGCACUAAAAGCCCCCUCCUUCCAAAGCGCGUGUUUGUGUUUGGCGAGAAGCCGUGGGUGUGCGUCGGGUUUGCCCGGAGAUUGCUGAGGUCAGACUCACGUGGUUGGCAGCGGUGUUUGGUUGGGUGGUGGUGGUGGUGGUGAGGACAAAGACAAAAGUUCCCCCCGUAUAGCCUACACAGACUGUUGAGCUACAAGGCACGUUCAUGCUGUGCGGGCGAUUUCCAAGAAAGGGCAAGACAGGGCCUUGAUUCACAAACACUGCGGUUCUUCGUACUCGUGGCCAGGAUGCUCACCACAAAACCAGCACCGUUCGUGGCCUCAAAACUUGUCAUUAAUAUGCAUCAUAGGGUGCUAAUCGGAGGUGCGGAGGAAGGACAACAAACUAC